rnacentral:lncRNA from 1 species
CCAGUAGAAGAGGCGAGGAUAGAGUUGGGGGUGGAACCUCCCACCUCCAGGAACUUUUGAGGAUUUUGAGGGUUUUGACUAUUCUGGAGAGAAGCAGAGAAGAGGUACUUCAUCAGCAUAGCCUGGGAGCUCUUGAGAGAAAAUCCACCUCGUGGGGCUCAAGGGAUUCAAAGGAGUUUACUCUGCAGAGAGAGAGAGGGAGGGACACAGAAAGAGACAGGGAUAGAAAGGGACAGAGAGGUGACAGUGACAGACUUUUCCAAGAAACCUGGGGCCCCUGUGACUAACUGCUGUGAAUUUUCUCAGUGCUAAUGGGAGGUUGGAAGCCCCGUGUUCGCCUGUGACAGAGCCUGGGUGAGACCUGGGGCUGAGGAGAGGCUGAGUUGGGGCCUCUGCACCUGCUGUGGGAUGGGCAUGUGGCCCCUCCUUGGUUGGGUGGGGUCUGUGGUGGCUUAUGGUGUGUGCAACCCCCUCAGUGUGGCUUCUUCCCCUAGGAUCCCUCAUGGAACCACCGGGUAUACCGACUGGCCCUCGCCAAGCUCUCCCCUCCUGUCAUCCCCUUCAUGCCCCUUCUUCUCAAAGACAUGACCUUCAUUCAUGAGGGAAACCACACACUAGUGGAGAAUCUCAUCAACUUUGAGAAGAUGAGAAUGAUGGCCAGAGCCGCGCGGAUGCUGCACCACUGCCGAAGCCACAACC